GUUCACUUGAAAAAAGAGGUUCUCUUGUUGAUUAUUUCUAAAUUUUAGAGUUUUUACCUGCUUCUUAAAAUGUCUCUUCGUAUAUUUUUUCGACAAUUCUCUACUAAAAUCAUCUCCUAAAAUCAUCUCCUAAUAGUAAUUUUAUUAGAUAGAAAAUGGGAUUUUCUCCUUCACUCGGCCGUUGUAAUUUACUUGACCCUUAAAAACUAAUUAGCGAAAUUAAGGAAAAACGGAUCUCACUUAAUCGGAAUAAUUAAGUAAAGGUUUUUAGAAGAACAUGUAUAGAUAGAUGUGACGAAGUUACCGGCCUAUUCAACUUUGAAGGUAAAUCAAAAGAGGAUCUAUCUUUUAAAAAAGGAGAGAAAAUAAAAAUAACUUGUCCAACACGAGAUCCCAUGUGGUAUCAAGCUAUGAAUGAAGUUGGAAACUCUGGAAUGAUCCCAGCCAACUACGUGGGUAAAAAUGGUCCAACUUCGGAUAAAAAGAAUGGAUCGCACAUUGGCAAACCUUGGUAUCACGGUGAUAUUGGUAGGGAAGAAGCAAUUAGAAGACUUAACGAUUGUGAAGACGGUUCUUUUCUUCUUCGCGACAGUACAAACUAUCCAGGCGAUUUCACUCUUUGUUUAAUCUAUUUGAACCAGGUUGAAAAUUACCAUGUGCUGAGAAAAGGUGGUAAAUAUACAAUUGACGAGGAGGUGUUUUUUGAUAAUUUGUCCGAAUUGAUAACUUAUUACGGAAAUGACGCAAAUGGAUUAGUAACCGAAUUAAAGAUUCCUUGUCCUCUUUACGAUACAAAUAAAUGGGAGAUCAAUAUCGACGAAUUAGAAGUGGGCGAAUGUAUUGGUAAAGGAGAAUUCGGCGAGGUUCAUUGCGGUAUUUAUAAAGAUCAAAAGGUUGCCAUUAAAUCGUUACACGAUAAAAACAAAGCUGGAGAAUUCCUUAAAGAAGCUCGCUUUAUGAUGACACUUAAGCAUAAAAAUUUGGUUAAAUUGGUGGGAAUAGUUAAUAAAGAAAAGACAUUAAUAGUAAGUGAAUUUAUGGAAAUGGGCAGCUUAAUAGAUUUUCUGCGGUCAAGGGGUAGGACAAAAAUUAAGAAAUCCCAACUUUUGGGAUUUGCUAAAGACACUUGCGAAGCCAUGUGUUAUCUUGAAGAAAAUUCAGUUGUACACAGAGACCUCGCUGCUAGGAAUGUUCUCUUAUCUGAACAUAAUGUUGCUAAAGUUACUGAUUUUGGGUUGGCUAGACAGGCUCAGGCCGAAGUUCAAGGUGGUAAAUUUCCUAUCAAAUGGACAGCUCCAGAAGCGCUCAAAAGCAAUAAAUUUACCAGUCACUCCGAUGUAUGGAGCUAUGGAAUAUUUUUAUGGGAAUUGUAUUCAUUCGGAAGAGUUCCCUACCCACGUAUUCAUUUAACAGAGGUGCCAGAACAUGUACAAAAGGGAUAUAGAAUGGAACCACCGGAAGAUUGUCCCACGGAAAUGCAUAAUAUAAUGGAAAAGUGCUGGAAUUUAGACGCAUCAAAACGACCUACAUUUAAAGAGAUAAAAGGAUCAUUAAUGACAUUUUCAUGAAAAAAAGAAUCUGCUUAUUAAGCCUAUAUGUAGGCCUUUAUGGAAAAGCAAUCUUUUGGAAUAUAAACCAGGAGCAGUUCAAGCAAGCUAUAAAAAAAAAAACAACAAAAAAAAUCAAUUCACACGACAAACUUUUUCUUCAUUGCUCUUUAUACUUAUUCAUUAAAUAUUAUUAUCGUUAGGCAUUAUGAUGAUCUUACUUUCUUCGUUUUGUUUUUAACAAAAAGAACUUAUAUUAGUGAUGAUUCACCCAUCGUACCCAGCUGAGAAAUACUGUAAAAGCUUUCCCAUACAUUGCCUUUUACUAUUGCUGACAAAUAUUUUUUUUUUUUUUGACAAUAUACAACUUUUUUAAUCUUUACU
rnacentral:misc_RNA from 1 species